AUUGAACGCUGGCGGCAGGCCUAACACAUGCAAGUCGAACGAGUGGCGGACGGGUGAGUAAUGUCUGGUAAACUGCCUGAUGGAGGGGGAUAACUACUGGAAACGGUAUCCAAUACCGCAUACCAUCGGAUGUGCCCAGAUGGGAUUGGCUGGUAGGUGGGGUAAAGGCUCACCUAGGCGACGAUCCCUAGCUGGUCUGAGAGGAUGACCAGCAACACGGGAACUGAGAAACGGUCAAGACUCCUAGGGGAGGCAGCAGGGGGGAAUAUUGCACAAUGGGCGAAAGCCUGAUGCAGCAAUGCGGCGUGGAGGAAGAAGGCCUUCGGGUUGUAAAGUACUUUCAGCGGGGAGGCGGUACCCGCAGAAGAAGCACCGGCUAACUCCGUGCCAGCAGCCGCGGUAAUAC
rnacentral:rRNA from 1 species